UAAAAUGCCGAAAUAGAUAACAUGUGAAGC
rnacentral:piRNA from 2 species